rnacentral:rRNA from 1 species
CACGUAGGGCGCAAGCGUUGUCCGGAAUUAUUGGGCGUAAAGAGCUCGUAGGUGGUUUGCUGCGUCCGCUGUGAAAACCCAAGGCUUAACCUUGGGCUUGCAGUGGAUACGGGCAGACUAGAGGUAGGUAGGGGAGAAUGGAAUUCCCGGUGUAGCGGUGAAAUGCGCAGAUAUCGGGAGGAACACCGGUGGCGAAGGCGGUUCUCUGGGCCUUACCUGACACUGAGGAGCGAAAGCUAGGGGAGCGAACGGG